GCCGCUGCUCCAUGCUUUUGAUACAGGUUGCCCGCUUUUCCGCUCGAUCCGUGCUAAAAUUGCGCGUCUUAUACGUUGGUUUGCUCGGAAGGAUCCAAAUCCUCCAAUCAGCGAUCGCGCGUCUCCGAGUGUUAACGGUGGCUGAGUGGGAGGCACGAGAGGGACGAUGAGAUUGAUAUUGAAACUAGGAGAGGCUCAUCGACCGGUGA